rnacentral:rRNA from 1 species
CCUACGGGAGGCAGCAGUGGGGAAUAUUGGACAAUGGGGGCAACCCUGAUCCAGCCAUGCCGCGUGUGUGAAGAAGGCCCUCGGGUUGUAAAGCACUUUCAGUGAGGAAGAACGCCUGGUGGUUAAUACCCAUCAGGAAAGACAUCACUCACAGAAGAAGCACCGGCUAACUCCGUGCCAGCAGCCGCGGUAAUACGGAGGGUGCGAGCGUUAAUCGGAAUUACUGGGCGUAAAGCGCGCGUAGGUGGCUUGAUAAGCCGGUUGUGAAAGCCCCGGGCUCAACCUGGGAAUGGCAUCCGGAACUGUCAAGCUAGAGUGCAGGAGAGGAAGGUAGAAUUCCCGGUGUAGCGGUGAAAUGCGUAGAGAUCGGGAGGAAUACCAGUGGCGAAGGCGGCCUUCUGGACUGACACUGACACUGAGGUGCGAAAGCGUGGGUAGCAAACAGGAUUAGAUACCCGGGUAGUC